AGCUUUGCGCAGUGGCAGUAUGGUAGCCAAUGAGGUUUAUCCGGGGCGCGAUUAUUGCUAAUUGAAAAAUUGUGGUAUUAAAGAGCUUUUAUUAAGUUGUCAGGAGUUAAUAUUACAGAUGAAAUUUCUGCAAUUUUGCAUGCAGA